UGGUAGGGGACAACAGNUUGGAAACGACUGCUAAUACCCUAUGAGCCCUAUGGGGGAAAGAUUUAUCGCCAUGAGAUGUGCCCGCGUUAGAUUAGCUAGUUGGUAAGGUAAUGGCUUACCAAGGCGACGAUCUAUAGCUGGUCUGAGAGGAUGAUCAGCCACACUGGGACUGAGACACGGCCCAGACUCCUACGGGAGGCAGCAGUGGGGAAUAUUGGACAAUGGGGGCAACCCUGAUCCAGCCAUGCCGCGUGUGUGAUGACGGCCUUAGGGUUGUAAAGCACUUUCAGCAGUGAAGAUAAUGACAUUAACUGCAGAAGAAGCCCCGGCUAACUUCGUGCCAGCAGCCGCGGUAAUACGAAGGGGGCUAGCGUUGUUCGGAAUCACUGGGCGUAAAGAGUACGUAGGCGGACUGAUAAGUUAGGGGUGAAAUCCCAAGGCUCAACCUUGGAACUGCCUUUAAUACUGUCAGUCUUGAGAUCGAGAGAGGUGAGUGGAACUCCGAGUGUAGAGGUGAAAUUCGUAGAUAUUCGGAAGAACACCAGUGGCGAAGGCGGCUCACUGGCUCGAUACUGACGCUGA
rnacentral:rRNA from 1 species